rnacentral:rRNA from 1 species
AAUCACUAGUCUUUUAAUUGAAGGCUUGAAUGAACGGUCUUACGAAAAAUAAACUGUCUUCUAAUAAAAAGAUCUAAAUUAACUUUUAAGUAAAAAGGCUUAAAUACUCCAAAGUGACGAUAAGACCCUAUAAAACUUGAUAAGUAAACUUUUAAAAUGAAACUAGAUAAAUAAACAUUUUCAAAUGGUACUAUUUUAUUGGGGCGAUAAAAAUAUAAGCGUAACUGUUUCUUACAUACAAUGUAGAUAACCAUUAAAGACUGAUCCUUUUAUAAAGAUUAAAAGAUUAAGUUACUUU